UACGUAGGGAGCAAGCGUUGUCCGGAAUCAUUGGGCGUAAAGAGCGCGCAGGCGGCUGGUCAAGUCCGAUGUGAAAUCUCCCGGCUCAACUGGGAAACUGCAUCGGAAACUGAUCGGCUUGAAGGUGGGAGAGGGUAGUGGAAUUCCCGGUGUAGUGGUGAAAUGCGUAGAUAUCGGGAGGAACACCAGUGGCGAAGGCGACUACCUGGCCCAUUCUUGACGCUGAGGCGCGAAAGCUAGGGGAGCGAACGGG
rnacentral:rRNA from 1 species